rnacentral:tRNA from 1 species
GGGCGUUUAGCUCAGUUGGUUAGAGCGCCACGUUGACAUCGUGGAGGUCAGAAGUUCGAAUCUUCUAUCGCCCA